GCCAGACUCCUACGGGAGGCAGCAGUAGGGAAUCUUUCACAAUGGGCGAAAGCCUGAUGGAGCAACGCCGCGUGAUCGAAUGAAGGCCUUCGGGUUGUAAAGAUCUGUUGACAGGGACGAAUAAGCAAUGCGAAUAGUUUUGUGUAUGACGGUACCUGUUUAGAAAGCUCCGGCUAACUACGUGCCAGCAGCCGCGGUAAUACGUAGGGAGCAAGCGUUGUCCGGAAUUACUGGGCGUAAAGGGCGCGUAGGUGGGCGCUUAAGUCAGGUGUGAAAACCAUGGGCUCAACCCAUGGCCUGCAUUUGAAACUGUAGUUCUUGAGUGUUGGAGAGGCAGGCGGAAUUCCGUGUGUAGCGGUGAAAUGCGUAGAUAUACGGAGGAACACCAGUGGCGAAGGCGGCCUGCUGGACUGUACCUGACGCUGAGGCGCGAAAGCGUGGGUAGCGAACGGGAUUAGAUACCCUCGUAACC
rnacentral:rRNA from 1 species